ACAAACGACUCUCGGCAACGGAUAUCUCGGCUCACGCAUCGAUGAAGAACGUAGCAAAAUGCGAUACUUGGUGUGAAUUGCAGAAUCCCGUGAACCAUCGAGUUUUUGAACGCAAGUUGCGCCCGAAGCCUUUUGGCUGAGGGCACGUCUGCCUGGGCGUCACA
rnacentral:rRNA from 1 species